rnacentral:rRNA from 1 species
GUCUAACUCUGGUCCAGCAGCCGCGUGAAUACAGAGACGGCAAGCGUUAGUCGGAUUCACUGGGCGGAAAGGGUGCGCAGGAGGCCAAGUGUGUGAGGCGUGAAAGCCCGGGGCUUAACCCCGGAAUUGCACCUCAAACUACAUGGCUAGAGCAUUGGAGAGGGUAGCAGAAUUCACGGUGUAGCAGUGAAAUGCGUAGAUAUCGUGAGGAAUACCAGAGGCGAAGGCGGCUACCUGGACAAUUGCUGACGCUCAGGCACGAAAGCGUGGGGAGCAAAAGGGAUUAGAACCCGUGUAGUC